rnacentral:ncRNA from 1 species
GCGUCGUUCCACUCCACUACUUGGGCGGCGCACAAGAAAAAAAGGAGGUCAGCUAUCCGUUGGCCUGCGGUGCGGCAGCGUGGAGACCUGCCGUAAUGCGGAGUGCCACUUUGCGGGCACCUGCGAGGCGGCGAUGCGUGGGCAUUUCCGUCAAGGCCGGGUAUUAUGU